CCUACGGGGGGCAGCAGUGAGGAAUAUUGGUCAAUGGGCGGGAGCCUGAACCAGCCAAGUCGCGUGAGGGAAGACGGUCCUAUGGAUUGUAAACCUCUUUAGGCGGGGAGCAAAGCCGGGCACGCGUGCCCGGAGGGAGAGUACCCGCAGAAUAAGCAUCGGCUAACUCCGUGCCAGCCGCCGCGGUAAUACGGAGGAUGCGAGCGUUAUCCGGAUUUAUUGGGUUUAAAGGGUGCGUAGGCGGAUUUUUAAGUCAGCGGUAAAAUGUCCGGGCUCAACCCGGGCCGGCCGUUGAAACUGGGGAUCUUGAGUGGGCGAGAAGUAUGCGGAAUGCGUGGUGUAGCGGUGAAAUGCAUAGAUAUCACGCAGAACUCCGAUUGCGAAGGCAGCAUACCGGCGCCCGACUGACGCUGAGGCACGAAAGCGUGGGGAUCGAACAGGAUUAGAUACCCUUGUAGUC
rnacentral:rRNA from 1 species